rnacentral:rRNA from 1 species
GACGAACGCUGGCGGCGUGCCUAAUACAUGCAAGUAGAACGCUGAAGCGAGGAGCUUGCUCUUCUUGGAUGAGUUGCGAACGGGUGAGUAACGCGUAGGUAACCUGCCUUGUAGCGGGGGAUAACUAUUGGAAACGAUAGCUAAUACCGCAUAACAAUAGGUGACACAUGUCAUUUAUUUGAAAGGGGCAAUUGCUCCACUACAAGAUGGACCUGCGUUGUAUUAGCUAGUAGGUGAGGUAACGGCUCACCUAGGCGACGAUACAUAGCCGACCUGAGAGGGUGAUCGGCCACACUGGGACUGAGACACGGCCCAGACUCCUACGGGAGGCAGCAGUAGGGAAUCUUCGGCAAUGGGGGCAACCCUGACCGAGCAACGCCGCGUGAGUGAAGAAGGUUUUCGGAUCGUAAAGCUCUGUUGUAAGUCAAGAACGAGUGUGAGAGUGGAAAGUUCACACUGUGACGGUAGCUUACCAGAAAGAGACGGCUAACUACGUG